CUGAAAUCUUCUACUCCCAACUGUAUGAUAUAUGGUGAGCUAGGACGUUUCCCACUUGCUAUUGAUGUAAAAUUAAGGAUGAAAUCCUACUGGUCUUAGGGAGCUACCAUUUGAUUUUUAGGGGGGGGGGGGGGGGCUAGGAUGAAAUUUGAAAAAAAUAGGCAGGACAGGAGUUUUGGUUAAAAAAAAGGCAGGAUGAGACACUUGCAAAAAAAAAGUCAGGCCGACAAUUAAGGUAAAAAAAAGACGGAUAAACUAAUAAAAAAAGGCAGGACCGAAAAGAGUGAAAAAUAAAAAGGCAGGACAGAGAUAUUACAGCUAAAAAAAAAUGCAGGACAAAAUUUUUCAUCCUAGCACACCCCCCCCCC
rnacentral:lncRNA from 1 species